AAGUGUUAACAGGUCUUUUAAAAUUUGUCUAGCCGGUUUUCUGGUCUGCCCUGGAAAGCCCCC
ensembl:snRNA U7 U7 small nuclear RNA